rnacentral:rRNA from 1 species
UAUGUGAUCGUCUCUCGCAUAUCAAUAAGCGGAGGAAAAGAAACUAACAAGGAUUCCCCUAGUAACGGCGAGUGAAGCGGGAAGAGCUCAAAUUUGAAAUCUUAAAGGGUUUCCCUUUACGAAUUGUAGUUUAAAGAAGUGUUUUCUGUUGAGGUUUUGGUAAAAGUUCUUUGGAAUAGGACAUCAUAGAGGGUGGGAAUCCCGUAUUUGACCUUUACUUCCAACUUUGUGAUACACUUUCAAAGAGUCGGAUUGUUUGGGAAUGCAGUCCAAAAUGGGUGGUAAAUUUCAUCUGAAGCUAAAUAUUGGCGAGAGACCGAUAGCGAACAAGUACCGUGAGGGAAAGAUGAAAAGAACUUUGAAAAGAGAGUUAAACAGUACGUGAAAUUGUCAAAAGGGAAGCGUUUGACACCAGUGUUGUUUUUCUGAAAAUCAAUUAAAGAACUGUUUAUGCUAAGCUGUUUAGACUUUAUCAGCUAUCUGUUUAGUUUUGAGCUUUUCUUUAAUGCACUUUUCAGUUAACAAGUCAACAUCAAUUUCUUUUGCUGUAAAAAAGCUUGAGGAAGGUGGCUUGAGAUUCGUCUUAAGUGUUUAUAGCCUCUUGCCUAUGCAGUCGGAGAGAUUGAGGUCUGCAGCGUAGAUCCUUCGGGGCUAAAUGCAUUUGUGCUAAGUUAUAGCAUUUUAUAGACAACUUGUUGACUAUGAUUUGUCUUGUAGCUUACUCGCUUAUGUUAUUUUACCUACGCUUAGGAUGUUGAUCCUCUCACAGUCGAGC